GUACAUGCAUACUAACAUCUGACGGAGUUCUGCCUUGACUGAGUGAUAGAAGAGCUUGCAAUUAGAGCUACAUCCAGUAACACAGAAGGAUACAGGAAAAAAGGAAUGGGCACUAGAAAAUCUUGUUUCUGGAUACAUUACUGGUGGAUGUUGAGCCCAACGUGAAAUUUAAGGAAAGGAAAGUUGUAAGAAGAGGCCAAUGCUGAGGGAGAGGCAGAGGACUUCACUGUAGCAGGGGAAGAGGGUAAUGAUGAGUU
rnacentral:lncRNA from 1 species